UACGAAGGGGGCUAGCGUUGUUCGGAAUUACUGGGCGUAAAGCGCACGUAGGCGGAUAUUUAAGUCAGGGGUGAAAUCCCAGAGCUCAACUCUGGAACUGCCUUUGAUACUGGGUAUCUUGAGUAUGGAAGAGGUAAGUGGAAUUGCGAGUGUAGAGGUGAAAUUCGUAGAUAUUCGCAGGAACACCAGUGGCGAAGGCGGCUUACUGGUCCAUAACUGACGCUGAGGUGCGAAAGCGUGGGGGAGCAAACAGG
rnacentral:rRNA from 1 species